AGUGAAUAGAUACCCGGGUAGUCCACGCCGUAAACUAUGGAUGCCCAGCAGUUUUCCGUAUCGACCCGGAAAAAGUUGCGAAAGCUAAACGCGUUAAGCAUCCCGCCUGUGGAGUACGGUCGCAAGACUAAAAACAUAAAGGAAUUGACGGGGACCCGCACAAGCGGUGGAGCGUGUUGUUUAAUUCGAUGGUAAGCGAAGAACCUUACCCAGGCUUGACAUCCUGCGAAUUUUUCGAAAGAAAGAAGUGCUUUUAGUAGCGCAGUGACAGGUGUUGCAUGGCCGUCGUCAGCUCGUGUCGUGAGAUGUUGGGUUAAGUCCCGCAACGAGCGCAACCCUUUUGAUUAGUUGAAUUUUUCUAAUCAGACUGCCCUGGUAACAGGGAGGAAGGAGGGGAUGAUGUCAGGUCAGUAUUACCCUUACGUCUGGGGCUACAAACACGCUACAAUGGCCGGUACAAAGGGCAGCCAACCCGCGAGGGGGAGCAAAUCCCAUCAAAGCCGGUCUCAGUUCGGAUAGCAGGCUGAAACUCGCCUGCUUGAAGCUGGAAUCGCUAGUAAC
rnacentral:rRNA from 1 species